UUAAGAUUUCUACUUUUAUUCAAUGUCAAAAUAUAAAUAAUUACAAUUCAGUUUUAAACAUUAUCUUAAAUUCAGACUUUAUAGCUUUAUAUUAUCCAAUUUUUUUGAAACAGCCGUUUCAAAAGCCCAAAGUCAACAAGGAUCAUGUGGUCACUAUCUUUGCAAGGCAUGAUAAGCUGAAACUCUUCAUAAAUCAACCACUUCCAACUUUGUGGAAUAUAAUUUAACAUUAACCUCUAUAGGCCUUGUUUUCCAAGAACCUGAGUAGGAAUAAUGUUUAACCAAUUAGGAAACACCAAUGGAGAAUUGCAGGAGGUACAAAGUUAAAGCUACUUGCAAAGAAAGACAUUCUUUUCCAUUGAGUAGCCUAAUAAUCUCCCCCUAAAUAUAUUUUAUUGCAUUAAGCAAGUGCCCCAUUAACUGUUUCUUGAGCACAUGAAUGUACAGUCCUCACCAAUUCUUGGAGCACCUGGAAGAUGGUUUCCUGCUCCGCUUCAAAAAUUGUCUUUUUCAGCUUCAGACUUCAAUUCAAGGUCAGUCAUUCCUAUAUAGGUUUUGAGGUAGGGACUUUUUCUGGUGAUACUGUCCAUCUGGGACUCUUUGCAGCGGCCUCUUGCCUCAUCCCAUUCCAGAUUUUCUGUUGAAAUUGAUGGCUGGAGCAAUAGAAUCAAAGUCUUCCCACUGCAAUAUAAGACUCUCUGUCCCUUUGCCCCAUUUUUUUUUUGCCAACCCAUGGAUAAUAUGAGAAUAUGAGAAGGGGAGGCAGUGUAGAAGCAAAUCAUUUUAGUGUUGAUUCAUUGAACCUCCUCCCAUCUGCUUUCAUUUGAUUCCCUUCCUGCAGUGAAUAGAGAAGUGGGAGAAAGGGCUUCUCAGCAGCCACCUGCACUAAGACCAAAGCAGCUUUAUUAUAAAAGAUGAGAAUUUGUGACCUUCCCAGGGCAGCUGAACUACAGACCACCACAAUCACAGGAAGCAUAGCCUAAGUGAAAGAGGCGGAUAGAUUGAAUCCAACAAUUUCUGCAAAUACAAAAGAAUCCUGUCCAUUCAUCUAUGCAGCUAAUCCACUAUGUUGAACAUCUCUUCCCAUCACCUGAAGAAGAGAGAAGGCUUACCAAACUCUUCUCCUUUCUCUCCCAACCCUUGUACCAGUGUCAGUUGUAACACCUACUGGUACAGAGGAUGGAAGGGGAAGUGGUUCAGGGGUUUUACACCAGAAUUUAUGUAUUUUCCAGCUUGGAUGAUCUCUCUAAACCUAAGAAAAAGACCAUCGGCAACAGCUUCCUGCCCUUCAUCCAGUACUGAAAGCAGAUAGCCUGAAACUAUCGGGGGUGGGGGUGGGGGGUGGGACUGUUUCUUUUAUUACGAUAGCUGCUUUUUAGCUUUCAACUGCCUGGCAAAAAUGUCUCUUGUUGCUUUCAUAUAGUCCCUUGUUUGAAAUACUAUCAACUAGAAAAAUAAAUGUUUCUUUGUCUGAAGCAAAUAAAACUUAAAAGAUGUUGAUUA